ACGGAGGGUGCAAGCGUUAUCCGGAUUCACUGGGUUUAAAGGGUGCGUAGGCGGACAGGUAAGUCAGUGGUGAAAUCUCUGGGCUUAACUCAGAAACUGCCGUUGAUACUAUCUGUCUUGAAUAUCCUGGAGGUAAGCGGAAUAUGUCAUGUAGCGGUGAAAUGCUUAGAUAUGACAUAGAACACCGAUUGCGAAGGCAGCUCACUACACGAAUAUUGACGCUGAGGCACGAAAGCGUGGGGAUCAAACAGGA
rnacentral:rRNA from 1 species